AACGCAAGCCGCGCCUUGCGCUGUUUCGACAGACGAGGCAUCCAUGUAUGAGUGUCAGCCUAAUAUGUAUUUGGUUCACAAGGGAGUACAACUAACUUGUGAAUACACAUGUGUCUUAUGACAUAUCACUUGAAACAUACACUGUGUCUGGCCUCAUAUAUGAAAGAUUACCCGCUGGAUUUAA
rnacentral:misc_RNA from 1 species